UGGUCGGCCAUCUAUGUCCUUUGUUG
rnacentral:misc_RNA from 1 species